UUUAAUUGAAGAGUUUGAUCAUGGCUCAGAUUGAACGCUGGCGGCAGGCUUAACACAUGCAAGUCGAGCGGUAGCACAGGG
rnacentral:rRNA from 1 species